AAUCAACGCUGGCGGCGUGCCUAAUACAUGCAAGUCGAGCGAGAAGACGUAGCAAUACGUUUGUAAAGCGGCGAACGGGUGAGGAAUACAUGGGUAACCUACCCUCGAGUGGGGAAUAACUAGCCGAAAGGUUAGCUAAUACCGCGUACGCUCCUUGGACUUCGGUUCAGGGAGGAAAGCGAUACCGUGGGUAUCGCGCUCUUGGAUGGGCUCAUGUCCUAUCAGCUUGUUGGUGAGGUAACGGCUCGCCAAGGCUUCGACGGGUAGCUGGUCUGAGAGGACAAUCAGCCACACUGGCACUGCGACACGGGCCAGACUCCUACGGGAGGCAGCAGUAAGGAAUAUUGCGCAAUGGGCGAAAGCCUGACGCAGCGACGCCGCGUGGGGGAUGAAGGUCUUCGG
rnacentral:rRNA from 1 species